CCUACGGGCGGCAGCAGUGGGGAAUAUUGCACAAUGGGGGAAACCCUGAUGCAGCGACGCCGCGUGAGUGAAGAAGUAAUUCGUUACGUAAAGCUCUAUCAGCGGGGAAGAAAUACUGACCUUACGGUCAGCAGACGGUACCUGAGUAAGAAGCCCCGGCUAACUACGUGCCAGCAGCCGCGGUAAUACGUAGGGGGCAAGCGUUAUCCGGAUUUACUGGGUGGAAAGGGAGCGUAGACGGUGCGCCAAGUCUGGAGUGAAAUGCCGCAGCUUAACUGCGGAACUGCUUUGGAAACUGGCGAACUAGAGUGCGGGAGGGGUAAGCGGAAUUCCUAGUGUAGCGGUGAAAUGCGUAGAUAUUAGGAGGGACACCGGUGGCGAAGGCGGCUUACUGGACCGUAACUGACGUUGAGGCUCGAAAGCGUGGGGAGCAAACAGGAUUAGAUACCCUGGUAGUC
rnacentral:rRNA from 1 species